CUGCAGCCCGAGUGGUGACCGAUAUUAUUGAGCCUAAAGCGUCCGUAGCCGGUCUGGUAAAUUCUUGGGUAAAUUGGGCAGCUUAACUGUCCGACUUCCGAGGAGACUGCCAGACUUGGGACCGGGAGAGGUCAGAGGUACUCCAGGGGUAGGGGCUAAAUCCUGUAAUCCUUGGGGGACCACCAGUGGCGAAGGCGUCUGACUAGAACGGAUCCGACGGUAAGGGACGAAACCCUGGGGCGCAAACCGGAUUAGAUACCCGAGUAGUCC
rnacentral:rRNA from 1 species